rnacentral:rRNA from 1 species
AGCAUGUGGUUUAAUUCGAAGAUACACGAAGAACCUUACCUGGCCUUGACAUGGUAGGAACCCUUAAGAGAUUAGGGGGUGCUAGCUUGCUAGAACCCUACACACAGGUGCUGCACGGCUGUCGUCAGCUCGUGUCGUGAGAUGUUGGGUUAAGUCCCGCAACGAGCGCAACCCUCGUCCUUAGUUGCUAACAGUUCGGCUGAGCACUCUAGGGAGACUGCCUUCGCAAGGAGGAGGAAGGUGAGGACGACGUCAAGUCAUCAUGGCCCUUACGGCCAGGGCUACACACGUGCUACAAUGGGGCGUACAGAGAGCUGCGAUACCGCGAGGUGGAGCCAAUCUCUUAAAGCGUCUCUCAGUUCGGAUUGUUCUCUGCAACUCGAGAACAUGAAGCUGGAAUCACUAGUAAUCGCAGAUCAGCUAUGCUGCGGUGAAUACGUUCCCGGGUCUU